rnacentral:rRNA from 2 species
UCUGGUGUCAGCCGCCGCGGUAAAACCAGCACCUCGAGUGGUCAGGAGGUUUAUUGGGCCUAAAGCAUCCGUAGCCGGUUGUUUAAGUUUUCGGUUAAAUCUAUGCGCUUAACGUAUAGGCUGCCGAAAAUACUGGACAGCUAGGGAGUGGGAGAGGUACACGGUACUCAAUAGGAAGGGGUAAAAUCCUUUGAUCUGUUGAUGACCACCUGUGGCGAAGGCGGUGUACCAGAACACGUUCGACGGUGAGGGAUGAAAGCUGGGGGAGCAAACCGGAUUAGAUACCCGGGUAGUCCCAGCUGUAAACGAUGCAAACUCGGUGAUGCAUUGGCUUGUGGCCAAUGCAGUGCCGCAGGGAAGCCGUUAAGUUUGCCGCCUGGGAAGUACGUACGCAAGUAUGAAACUUAAAG